CCUACGGGCGGCAGCAGUGGGGAAUAUUGGACAAUGGGGGGAACCCUGAUCCAGCCAUGCCGCGUGUGUGAAGAAGGCCCUCGGGUUGUAAAGCACUUUCAGUGAGGAAGAACGCCUGGUGGUUAAUACCCAUCAGGAAAGACAUCACUCACAGAAGAAGCACCGGCUAACUCCGUGCCAGCAGCCGCGGUAAUACGGAGGGUGCGAGCGUUAAUCGGAAUUACUGGGCGUAAAGCGCGCGUAGGUGGCUUGAUAAGCCGGUUGUGAAAGCCCCGGGCUCAACCUGGGAACGGCAUCCGGAACUGUCAAGCUAGAGUGCAGGAGAGGAAGGUAGAAUUCACGGUGUAGCGGUGAAAUGCGUAGAGAUCGGGAGGAAUACCAGUGGCGAAGGCGGCCUUCUGGACUGACACUGACACUGAGGUGCGAAAGCGUGGGUAGCAAACAGGAUUAGAUACCCUGGUAGUC
rnacentral:rRNA from 1 species